UACGAAGGGGGCUAGCGUUGCUCGGAAUCACUGGGCGUAAAGGGUGCGUAGGCGGGUUAUUAAGUCAGAGGUGAAAUCCUGGAGCUCAACUCCAGAACUGCCUUUGAUACUGAUAGUCUUGAGUAUGGGAGAGGUGAGUGGAACUGCGAGUGUAGAGGUGAAAUUCGUAGAUAUUCGCAAGAACACCAGUGGCGAAGGCGGCUUACUGGCCCAUUACUGACGCUGAGGCACGAAAGCGUGGGGAGCAAACAGG
rnacentral:rRNA from 1 species